rnacentral:rRNA from 1 species
CCUACGGGUGGCUGCAGUGAGGAAUAUUGGUCAAUGGGCGGAAGCCUGAACCAGCCAAGCAGCGUGCAGGAUGACGGCCCUACGUGUUGUAAACUGCUUUUAUACGGGAAUAAAGACCCUUACGUGUAGGGCUUUGCAUGUACCGUAUGAAUAAGGACCGGCUAAUUCCGUGCCAGCAGCCGCGGUAAUACGGAAGGUACGGGCGUUAUCCGGAUUUAUUGGGUUUAAAGGGUGCGUAGGCCGGCUGUCAAGCGUGCUGUGAAAUGUCCGGGCUCAACCCGGGCCUUGCAGCGGAAACUGGCGGGCUUGAGUCCGCGGAAAGCAGGCGGAAUUCGUGGUGUAGCGGUGAAAUGCUUAGAUAUGACGAAGAACCCCGAUUGCGAAGGCAGCUUGCUGCAGCGGAACUGACGCUGAGGCUCGAAAGCGCGGGUAUCGAACAGGAUUAGAUACCCCAGUAGUC